UAGGGAGCAAGCGGUGUCCGGAAUAAUUGGGCGUAAAGCGCGCGUAGGCGGCCUGAUAAGUCCGUUGUGAAAGUCAAAGGCUCAACCUUUGAAAGCCGAUGGAUACUGUGAGGCUAGAGUCCGGAAGAGGCGAGUGGAAUUCCUGGUGUAGCGGUGGAAUGCGCAGAUAUCAGGAGGAACACCAAUAGCGAAGGCAGCUCGCUGGGACGGUACUGACGCUAAGGCGCGAAAGCGUGGGGAGCGAACAGG
rnacentral:rRNA from 1 species